UGGGGAAUAUUGGGCAAUGGACGCAAGUCUGACCCAGCAACGCCGCGUGAAGGAAGAAGGCUUUCGGGUUGUAAACUUCUUUUAAGGGGGAACAGCAGAAGAGGGUACCCCUUGAAUAAGCCACGGCUAACUACGUGCCAGCAGCCGCGGUAAUACGUAGGUGGCAAGCGUUGUCCGGAUUUACUGGGUGUAAAGGGCGUGCAGCCGGGUCUGCAAGUCAGAUGUGAAAUCCGUGGGCUCAACCCACGAACUGCAUUUGAAACUGUGGAUCUUGAGUAUCGGAGAGGUAAUCGGAAUUCCUAGUGUAGCGGUGAAAUGCGUAGAUAUUAGGAGGAACACCAGUGGCGAAGGCGGAUUGCUGGACGACAACUGACGGUGAGGCGCGAAAGCGUGGGGAGCAAACAGG
rnacentral:rRNA from 1 species